rnacentral:rRNA from 1 species
GACAGAGGGUGCAAACGUUGUUCGGAAUUACUGGGCGUAAAGCGAGUGUAGGCGGUCCUAUAAGUCGGGUGUGAAAGCCCUGGGCUCAACCCAGGAAGUGCACUCGAUACUGUGGGCUAGAGUAUCGGAGAGGUUGGUGGAAUUCUCGGUGUAGAGGUGAAAUUCGUAGAUAUCGAGAGGAACACCGGUGGCGAAGGCGGCCAACUGGACGAAUACUGACGCUGAGGUGCGAAAGCGUGGGGAGCAAACAGG